rnacentral:misc_RNA from 1 species
UGUUUCCUGGAACCCAUGCAC